GAUGAACGCUGGCGGCGUGCCUAAUACAUGCAAGUCGAGCGAACGGACGAGAAGCUUGCGUCUCUGAUGUUAGCGGCGGACGGGCGAGUAACACGUGGAUAACCUACCUAUAAGACUGGGAUAAUUUCGGGAAACCGGAGCUAAUACCGGAUAAUAUUUUGAACCGCAUGGGUCAAAAGAGAAAGACGGUCUUGCUGGCAGGAAUAGAUGGAUCCGCGCUGCAUUAGCUAGUUGGUAAGGUAACGGCUUACCAAGGCAACGAUGCGUAGCCGACCUGAGAGGGUGAUCGGCCACACUGGAACUGAGACACGGUCCAGACUCCUACGGGAGGCAGCAGUAGGGAAUCUUCCGCAAUGGGCGAAAGCCUGACGGAGCAACGCCGCGUGAGUGAUGAAGGUCUUCGGAUCGUAAAGCUCUGUUAUUAGGGAAGAACAUAUGUGUCAUUAACUGUGCCCAUCUUGACGGUACCUAAUCAGAAAGCCCCGGCUAACUACGUG
rnacentral:rRNA from 1 species